CUUCAACAUGACAGCCCUACAAACAAUGGAAAAUUGUCAUCUCUUCUUAUUCUUCUGUAACAGGCCUUUUCUUUAGGAGGCCUCUUCCAAAUUCAAGGAAAAUAAGAUACCAGUGUGAUGCUUCUGACCCACUGUGGAAAGAGUCUGCGCUCUGAGGUCCCUUCUCUCAGUGGCAGGAAGGAACACUAAGGAUGGCUGCCAACAUGAGAAGCAAAGAGAAAGGCAUGGAACAGAUUCUCUCCUAGAGCCUUCAGAGCGCUGGAUUUUGGACUCCUAGCCUUCAGAACUUAAGAAUGUAAAUUUCUGUUGUUCUAAGAGGCGUGCACACACACACACAUACACACAGCUAAUCCAACUCCUUGUAUCCUAUGCUUCAAUUACUCUUAAAUGUCUCUGAUGCACCAAGUCACUAUGAUUACAUCAUCAAAGUCCUCCUCUCUGCCUCAAUUCCUUUGUAUCUCUCCCCACUAGACAAUCACUUACUAUACUAUAAUUAGUGAGUAAAAGGUUCUGGGAGCCA
rnacentral:lncRNA from 1 species